AGAAACUGGACCAGCUCCAGCUGCUCUGUGUAGCAGGAGAAAAGUACAAUAAAUGCAACACAGCCUUUGGACUUCAUGCGGAGUCGUGGGGGCAUAAAAGAUAAGAAUCCAAGCCGCUGAGGGCGGGGAACCACUGAGUGAUACCUAAGCUGUCCAAGAUCUCCCGGCAGCUGCUGACCCCGAGGGAAAGAGCUGCUCCCUGCCAGACUUUCACUGAUCACAGACGUGUCAGCCAUAAACAACUGACUGCAAGACCUGGGAGGUCUCAGCAGGAAAACCAGCAGAGGCAACACCCCUGCACGGAGCGCUGAGCUGGGAAGAGUGCCCAGAACAGUUAAUGCCCAGACCCUCUCAGCCUUGCAAAUCGCCGCCCGCCUGGGGGGUGAAGAGCCAUUUAUGCCAGGCCUGCAAGCAUCCCCUCUGCCUGGGCCGGGAGGUGGAUGGUGGAAUGAUCGCCGUAAGAAUGGCUCUCGAGUUCUGAGUGCACUGGAUGUAGUCCGGCUCCACGCCAAAUGCUCUACGUUCCUUUCCCACCCAACUCUCAACAGCCCCAUCGGGAGGAAUGAUUACCAUCCCCAUUUGACCCAUCAGGAAACUGAGGCUCAGAGAGGUGAGUGCCUUGCCAAGGUCACACAGCCAAAGAGCAGAGGAACUGGGACUUGAACCUAGCUCCUGGCAGGCCUGGCUGCAAAGCCUGCACCUCACCCUGAUGCUUCACCACCUCCGACAGCAGACCAAGCCCAGAAACACAGCUGGCAGGGCCAGGGAGAGACCAGGAGACACUGCCCUGCACUCAGCGCCUCUUCCCUCGGGGAGGUCCAUGCAGGCAGACGGCCUGCCGCUUCACCCCUCCCUCUGGGUUCCAUGGCAGCAGCUGGUACCCUGCUGGCUUGGAUGGCCCCAGUGACUCUCAGUGACCCAGUGCCCCUGGACUCCCUGGCCUAGAUGCCUAGCUGUGGCUGAGCACAGUGAUCAUCUGGGCCAGAAGAGCACCGGGGCUUCCCUGGAAAGACGGCCCCCAGCCCCCACCUCCAGGCCGACCCAUCACUGCCUCCCACCCU
rnacentral:lncRNA from 10 species